AACAGCUCACUGGUCGAGUGCGCGGGCAUGGAUAAUAAGCGGGCAUGAAGCGCCUUGCCGAAGCCACGGGCCAUUUUAGGAUGGCGGUAGGGGAGCAUUCCAUUUCCGUUGAAGGCGUGCCGGGAGGCAUGCUGGAGGGGAUGGAAAAGCAAAUGUAGGCAUAAGUAACGAUAAGGCAGGCGAGAAACCUGCCCACCGAUAGACUAAGGUUUCCCCGGCAAUGCUAAUCAGCCGGGGGUUAGUCGGGGCCUAAGGCGAACCCGAGAGGGGUAGUCGAUGGAUAAUCGGU
rnacentral:rRNA from 1 species